CCCCAGUUGCCCCCAGUUGCUCCCAGUUGCCCCCGUACCGGUGAGGAUGGACUGGUCGACGCGCAGGGUCGUGGACUUGAUGGAGAGGAUGCGGAUGUCGGCUGGAACCUUGUCCCCCACUGCGGGCAGCCGUCGUUACUGGGAGGGACUGGGAGCACUGGGAGGGGCUGAGAGGGGGCUGGGGGGGGACUGGGAGGGGCCGAGGGGGGGCCGGGGGGGCUCUGGGGGUGACUGGGGAGUUACUGGGAGGCUACUGGGAUGCAUUAAGGGUAACUGGGAUGCACUAAGGCUUACUGGGAAGCUACUGGGAUGCGCGUGGGAGUUACUUGGGGGUUACGGGGAAGCUCUGGGGGUGACUGGGGAGUUACUGGGAGGCUACUGGGAUGCAUUAAGGGUUACUGGGAUGCACUAAAGCUUACUGGGAGGUUACUGGGAUGCACUACGGCUUACUGGGAUGCACGAAUUCUUACUGGGAAGUUACUGGGAUGCCCUUGGGGAUUACUUGGGGGUUAUGGGGAAGCUCUGGGGGUGACUGGGAGGUUACUGGGAUGCAUUAAGGCUUACUGGGAUGCACUAAGGCUUACUGGGAUGCACUAAUUCUUACUGGGAGGUUACUGGGAUGCACUAAGGCUUACUGGGAAGUUACUGGGAUGUAUGUGGGAGUUACUGGGGGGUCACAGGGAAGCCCUGGGGGUGACUGGGGAGUUCCUGGGAGGUUCCUGGGAUGCAUUAAGUGUUACUGGGAUGCACUAAAGCUUACUGGGAUGCACUAAAGUUUACUGGGAAGUUACUGGGAUGCCCUUGGAGAUUACUCGGGGGUUACGGGGAAGCUCUGGGGGUGACUGGGGAGUUACUGGGAGGCUACUGGGAUGCACUAAAGCUUACUGGGAUGCACUAAAGCUUACUGGGAGGUUACUGGGAUGCACUAAGGCUUACUGGGAAGCUACUGGGAUGCGCGUGGGAGUUACUUGGGGGUUACGGGGAAGCUCUGGGGGUGACUGGGGAGUUACUGGGAGGCUACUGGGAUGCAUUAAGGGUUACUGGGAUGCACUAAAGCUUACUGGGAGGUUACUGGGAUGCACUACGGCUUACUGGGAUGCACGAAUUCUUACUGGGAAGUUACUGGGAUGCCCUUGGGGAUUACUUGGGGGUUAUGGGGAAGCUCUGGGGGUGACUGGGAGGUUACUGGGAUGCAUUAAGGCUUACUGGGAUGCACUAAGGCUUACUGGGAUGCACUAAUUCUUACUGGGAGGUUACUGGGAUGCACUAAGGCUUACUGGGAAGUUACUGGGAUGUAUGUGGGAGUUACUGGGGGGUCACAGGGAAGCCCUGGGGGUGACUGGGGAGUUCCUGGGAGGUUCCUGGGAUGCAUUAAGUGUUACUGGGAUGCACUAAAGCUUACUGGGAUGCACUAAAGUUUACUGGGAAGUUACUGGGAUGCCCUUGGAGAUUACUCGGGGGUUACGGGGAAGCUCUGGGGGUGACUGGGGAGUUACUGGGAGGCUACUGGGAUGCACUAAAGCUUACUGGGAUGCACUAAAGCUUACUGG
rnacentral:lncRNA from 1 species